rnacentral:rRNA from 1 species
AAACUUUCAACAACGGAUCUCUUGCUCUGGCAUCGUUGAAGAACGCAGCGAAAUGCGAUAAGUAAUGUGNAUUGCGGAAUUCAGUGAGUCAUCGAAUCUUUGAACGCACAUUGACGCCGCCAGUAUUCUGGCGGGCAUGCCUGUUCGAGCGUCAUUA